UCAAAGUACAAAGACGACUGAUAA
rnacentral:siRNA from 1 species